AGUCGAUGUUCGUGCGCUAUGUAGUUCGAUGGGCUAAUCACACAUCCUCCAUGUGAGCACCUGAAGCAAGCUCUGUGGUAUGAUUUACUAUCCACUGCCACCUUCUCAAUUGGAUAAACAGUUUUCUUGCAAGUAACACAUUUAUCUUGAGUUCCAGCAAAUAAACUUGACACUUUGCUGUUGGAUUGGACCUGAUUGGUAGAUCUGUCUGUUCUAAGGGUUCUUGGAGUACCUUCAAAACUUUUUUCUAAGCUUCCAGUCAUCUUGAACAACUGAUCAAAGUGA
rnacentral:misc_RNA from 1 species